AUUGAACGCUGGCGGCAGGCCUAACACAUGCAAGUCGAGCGGAUGAAGGGAGCUUGCUCCUGGAUUCAGCGGCGGACGGGUGAGUAAUGCCUAGGAAUCUGCCUGGUAGUGGGGGAUAACGUCCGGAAACGGGCGCUAAUACCGCAUACGUCCUGAGGGAGAAAGUGGGGGAUCUUCGGACCUCACGCUAUCAGAUGAGCCUAGGUCGGAUUAGCUAGUUGGUGGGGUAAAGGCCUACCAAGGCGACGAUCCGUAACUGGUCUGAGAGGAUGAUCAGUCACACGGGAAUGAAACACCGUCCAGGACUCCAACGGGGGCAGCGGGGGGGAAUUUUUGAACAAGGGGGAAAGGCUUAACCCAGCAUUGCCGGGUGUGGGAAGAAGGUCUUGGGAUUUAAAACCUUUUUAAUUGGGGAGAAGGGAAAUAAAUUAAAUCCCUUCUUGUUUGGAGUUAACAAAAAAAAAAGCCCCCGCCAACCUUGGUC
rnacentral:rRNA from 1 species